UGGGGAAUAUUGCACAAUGGGCGCAAGCCUGAUGCAGCCAUGCCGCGUGUGUGAAGAAGGCCUUCGGGUUGUAAAGCACUUUCAGCGAGGAGGAAGGGUUCAGUGUUAAUAGCACUGUUCAUUGACGUUACUCGCAGAAGAAGCACCGGCUAACUCCGUGCCAGCAGCCGCGGUAAUACGGAGGGUGCAAGCGUUAAUCGGAAUUACUGGGCGUAAAGCGCACGCAGGCGGUUUGUUAAGUCAGAUGUGAAAUCCCCGCGCUUAACGUGGGAACUGCAUUUGAAACUGGCAAGCUAGAGUCUUGUAGAGGGGGGUAGAAUUCCUGGUGUAGCGGUGAAAUGCGUAGAGAUCUGGAGGAAUACCGGUGGCGAAGGCGGCCCCCUGGACAAAGACUGACGCUCAGGUGCGAAAGCGUGGGGAGC
rnacentral:rRNA from 1 species